rnacentral:rRNA from 1 species
UGGGGAAUAUUGCACAAUGGGCGCAAGCCUGAUGCAGCCAUGCCGCGUGUAUGAAGAAGGCCUUCGGGUUGUAAAGUACUUUCAGCGGGGAGGAAGGCGAUAAGGUUAAUAACCUUGUCGAUUGACGUUACCCGCAGAAGAAGCACCGGCUAACUCCGUGCCAGCAGCCGCGGUAAUACGGAGGGUGCAAGCGUUAAUCGGAAUUACUGGGCGUAAAGCGCACGCAGGCGGUCUGUCAAGUCGGAUGUGAAAUCCCCUGGCUCAACCUGGGAACUGCAUUCGAAACUGGCAGGCUAGAGUCUUGUAGAGGGGGGUAGAAUUCCAGGUGUAGCGGUGAAAUGCGUAGAGAUCUGGAGGAAUACCGGUGGCGAAGGCGGCCCCCUGGACAAAGACUGACGCUCAGGUGCGAAAGCGUGGGGAGCAAACA